CGCCGUUUUAAUGUAAUUUUAUCCUAAUUUGAAGCACACAGGUAAAGUAAUAACCUCCAGUUUGUAAGUUUUCAUUUGUAUGACGUCACGUUUAGCCAUGACGUCUUUGUGCCAAAAUCAUUCAUGAAGUUUCGCGGAUUUUUUUUAUUUGACAAAUUUAGACAUUUUUUCAAGUUUUAUCGUAUUUUUUCUUUUUGUAAUGCAUUAGAAUCGGAAUAACAGUACUGUAGUUGAAGAGUUGCCACCGUCAAUUUUGAUUUGACGGUCGCAAAUCUCCGUAUUACUGUCUCCGCUACGCGUCGCCAAUAAAACUGCAUUUGCGACCGUCAAAUCUACAAUUG
rnacentral:lncRNA from 1 species